GCUGGAAGAAGAUCGUACACUCCGCUGUAGGAAGAUCGUACACUCCGCUGGAAGAAGAUCGUACACUCCGCUG